GAUGAACGCUGGCGGCGUGCCUAACACAUGCAAGUCGAACGGAGUCCAGCCUUUAAGACCUUCGGGUCAAAGAGGGGAAGCCUGAGUGGCGGACGGGUGAGUACCACGUGGGAAACCUGGCUCAUAGAGGGGGAUAACAGAGAGAAAUUUCUGCUAAUACCGCAUACGCACACCCUGCCGCAUGGCAGAGGGUGAAAAGAGAAUCGCUAUGAGAUGGACCCGCGUCUGAUUAUCCAGUUGGCAGGGUAAGAGCCUACCAAAGCGACGAUCAGUAGCCGAGAUGAGAGGAUGAACGGCCACAUUGAGACUGAGACACGGCCCAAACUCCUACGGGAGGCAGCAGUGGGGGAUAGUGCACAAUGGGGGGAACCCUGAUGCAGCGACGCCGCGUGAGUGAAGAAGUAUGUCGGUAUGUAAAGCUCUAUCAGCAGGGAAGAUAAUGACAGUACCUGAAUAAGAAGCCCCGGCUAACUACGUG
rnacentral:rRNA from 1 species